ensembl:lncRNA
ACAAUCUCUACAAGACUCAUUUUAACACAAUGUUUGUUUGUUUUUUUUUUUAAUUGAGCUUAAAUAAAUCUGCUUGUGUUUUUUUUGAGGUGAAGCGGCUUUUAUGUGCAGACAGUUGCCUGUGCUCAAAACCAGCUGGAUACAAGGUAGUUCUUGUUCAAAAGUUGUGUGGCAGAGUUACUGGAAACAUGAGCUGUAGCUUCUGCAUCCUGUCUCUUGGUACAGGUCCACCAGAGGCAUGUUCCACCACUGGCAGACUUCAUAGGUGUUCAAACAGUGAAAUGAUGAAGGCUAUAGAAACACGUAAUUAAAUGGAUAUGGCUUGUAGCUAACCUCCAUGCUUACAGAAAAGAUCCUGUCUCAGCAAAUCUGCCUCAUGGCUAGGGUGUCCCUGGGCCAGGUGAACUAGCAUAAGCAACGUUAGAUUUAAUUUUUCAUGUCUUGCUCCUGAAGUCUAAUGUCUAGUGUUUUCAGCACCAGCUGAUGUUUGUCUGCUUCAGUCUGGCUUCUGUAAGAAACAGCCUCACCCAAGCUUCUGUGGCAGUCUAACACCUUGGGGGCCAUGUAACUACUCCUGAAUGGGAACACAGGAUUUAUCUCAUCUUGCUGUCAGGCUUGUAUUACUAACAGGCCUACACUGGUAAUAAAAUGUGCUUUUUUUUGGGGAAUCAGCUGCAGAACCAAAGUGACCCAUACAGCUCCCAGACGCUUCCAAACUGUAAAAGAGCAUGCAGUGUCUGACUAUAUCUCUUUUCCUUACUUAACUCUGAAGUAAAUGAUAAUUUGGUGAAGGCUUGAAGAAUGUUUUUGACUAAAUAGGAGUCUUUUUUUCUCUUGGUAUCUAGAUAGAUAAUUCUUUCUAAUCAUCAUGACCUCAGGUUUGUGACAAGAACUCCAUCCUUAAAAAGACCGUGUUCUGAAAAGUUUUUUUUUCUCCUUCCUUGCCUCCUUUAAGUUUUGUUUUGUUUUUUUCUUUAUGAAGACAUACAAACCAAUUAUAGUCAAUUAUUAUUUUAUUAUUGAUUAAAGAUAUUCAAGUUUUUAACUUGGAGAAUUAAUAAUACUUACAAAUGGUGCAGAUGUGAACACAUCUCUUCCAGGCUUUAUCACUGACUAGCUCCUUCACUUGAAUUUCCUGUAUGACAAGUAGACUGAAUAAAUAUUCUCUUACCACAUAAACAAUGUGGUGAAAUUUCAUAAUCUAGACCUCUGUGACUGACUUACCCAAGUGGGCAACUACUGCUUUGGAAGUGUUACUGCUCUGCUGUAACAAAUAUUUUUCAUAUGUUAAUAUGGUUCAAAGCAGCAGCAUAUGCAAAUCUAUUGAUAAUCUGGUCAGAAAAAAAUAUUAUUUGCUUCAAUAGAUUUGCAAGAGAGACAAAUAACUGUUACUACAUGUCUAAUUAACUACCAUAGCGUCCUUAUGACAAGAUAGUUGCUAUUACAUUCAGAAAUGUGCUUUUUCCCUGUAUCUAGAACUACCUUACUGCUACCAGCAGUCUCACCUCUGGGAUUUUUGUUUUGAAUGGCACUGUCUACCCUGACUAGUUCAGGGAUAUCCCAUAAGCCACUUUUGUGUAGCUACAUAUGUCAUGAGUGGCAAGAAUGCUCUGAGAAGUUGGCAUAUCAUUUUCUCUUCUGAUGCUAACUAUCUCAGGGAUCUUUGCCACAGUGACUUCAAUUUCCUCUGCUUGACAGACCUUAUCUUAUCAAGAGCUUAAAACGUGUUUACAAAUACAAUGCAAUCAGAGUUCUGUGCUUUAGGUGCCAAGUUAUUCUGUAAGCCAUUGAUCUUUAUUACAGAAUUGCAGGGUGUUGCUAAAUACGUUAGUAAUUAUACAUUUGGGCUGCCAUAGCAUCUACUCUUGGGCAAUUGCCUUUUAUUCUCUGAUUGAUAGUUGGCUAUAGACUUGUUGCAAAAUGAAUUUAAAAUCACAACAUCGGCAGACAAACUGGUUCAAGUUACUGGUAACUAUUGUUUCUAUAACAAUGAUUACUUAGUCAUGUAUGAAAUGUAACACUAGUUUUUACUUCUCUGUCCGAGGCAAGCAUAAAGAUCUGGAUUUCUAGUAAAUAGGCCAACUGCCUCCUUCCAGGAGUACAGUGUCAAGGAAUAGCUGUCUAGUAAUCUAAAAGUGGUAAUAAUUACAUUGUUUACUUUCCUCUUUUGUGUCUCAAAUACUGGUAGAUAAUAGGUUAUUUCUAUCAAAUGUGAUUAUUGAUAUCAACUACCAAGGUUAGUUAUUGAAAAAAUACAUAUUCGGGUUAAGAACUUCUCUAAAUAUGUAUCUGUUUUUGUUCAUGAACAGUAAUAGUUUCUAUUAAGGUGCACAAGAAAUAGGUCUGCUCUUUAUGAAUAGGAUGUGGAAGCAAAGGCAAAACAUAUAUGGAAAUUAUUGUUUGUGUGAGAGAGACACAGAUCUGUACACCUGAACCACCUCUAUAUAGCUCAAAUCAGAAACUGUAUAUGCAUUAUUGUCAUCCAACAUCAUGACUUUAUAGCUGUAGCGUACCAUUUCUUAUGCACAAGUAUACUUCUGAUUACAGACUUAUUGUUUAUUUCAUACAGAAAUAAGUGAGGUUCAUUUGCUUUCCAUAUGUAGCUAAGUAACGUUUGUAAUAUUUUGUAUGAAGUCCUGUAUGUGCAAAUAUAUUUGCUUAAAGCAGAACACCUUUUGAAAUCAAAAUUUAUCGUUGAAAGAUGACUGGGAUGAAAACUUUGCCUUUUCUUUGUAUGCUACAUAUUAUGAUAAAUCUUA